rnacentral:rRNA from 1 species
CAGGCCUAACACAUGCAAGUCGAGCGGAGCACUUCGGUGCUUAGCGGCGGACGGGUGAGUAACACGUAGGCAACCUGCCUAUAAGACUGGGAUAACUAUCGGAAACGAUAGCUAAGACCGGAUAACUGUUUUUCUCGCAUGAGAGAAUCAUGAAACACGGAGCAAUCUGUGGCUUAUAGAUGGGCCUGCGGCGCAUUAGCUAGUUGGUAGGGUAACGGCCUACCAAGGCGACGAUGCGUAGCCGACCUGAGAGGGUGAACGGCCACACUGGGACUGAGACACGGCCCAGACUCCUACGGGAGGCAGCAGUAGGGAAUCUUCCGCAAUGGACGCAAGUCUGACGGAGCAACGCCGCGUGAGUGAUGAAGGUUUUCGGAUCGUAAAGCUCUGUUGCCCUAGACGAACAGCAAGGCGAGUAACUGCGCUUUGUGUGACGGUAUAGGAGAAGAAAGCCCCGGCUAACUACGUGCCAGCAGCCGCGGUAAU